AUUGAACGCUGGCGGCAGGCCUAACACAUGCAAGUCGAGCGAGCGGCGGACGGGUGAGUAAUGUAUGGGGACAGCCAGAUAGAGGGGGAUAACUACUGGAAAAGGUGGCUAAUACCGCAUACUAUAGGAUAACCCAAAGGGGCUUAGAUAGUAGGGGGGGGAAAGGCUCACCUAGAAGACGAUCUCUGGAUGGUCUGAGAGGAGGAAAAGGCAUACGGGGCAUGUGACACGGCCCAGACUCCUACGGAGGCAGCAGUGGGGAAUAUUGCACAAUGGGCGCAAGCCUGAUGCAGCCAUGCCGCGUGUAUGAAGAAGGCUUUAGGGUUGUAAACCUCUUUCGAUAUCGAACGGGUAGGUUGAGAAGAAGCGCCGGCUAACUACGUGCCAGCAGCCGCGGUAAUUC
rnacentral:rRNA from 1 species